GGCCCAGACUCCUACGGGAGGCAGCAGUGGGGAAUAUUGCACAAUGGGGGAAACCCUGAUGCAGCAACGCCGCGUGAGUGAAGAAGUCAUUCGUGAUGUAAAGCUCUAUCAGCAGGGAAGAAAAUGACGGUACCUGAGUAAGAAGCCCCGGCUAACUACGUGCCAGCAGCCGCGGUAAUACGUAGGGGGCAAGCGUUAUCCGGAUUUACUGGGUGUAAAGGGAGCGUAGACGGCCAGACAAGUCUGAAGUGAAAGCCCGGGGCCCAACCCCGGGACUGCUCUGGAAACUGCGUCGCUGGAGUACGGGAGGGGCAGGCGGAAUUCCUGGUGUAGCGGUGAAAUGCGUAGAUAUCAGGAGGAACACCGGCGGCGAAGGCGGCCUGCUGGACCGUGACUGACGUUGAGGCUCGAGAGCGUGGGGAGCAAACAGGAUUAGAUACCCCAGUAA
rnacentral:rRNA from 1 species